GUUUGUCUUUUCUGGUGUUUUGUGGGUUAUUCCAGGAUAGGAUGGACUGCUAUACUCAGAAAUGGAAGAUGACCAACUAUGGAAUAGAUUGAUAAACGUCUAUUUAAGGAAAAAUGCUUCCAGAAGAGCUCCACGUUCCACAGAACUCCAGUGUCUUAGCAUGACGGGGACUAUUUCAGGCAUCUCAUCUCACCACUUGAUUGACUCGGAGACCUGUCAUGAGUUUCACCUGGCCUGCAAAUCAGAUCUGAAGAGGCGGAGGAGGACAGUGACAUGACUUCUAGCAGUCAUUCAUUUGUUGUAUAGAAAUAUCCUUCAAAAGAUCUGUGCCUGCCUCGGGUGAAAUAGAUGUCAAAUUUGCCCUGAGGCUGCAACAAAAUGUGGUCACUUAAUGCAAGGCUGCUUCUGUCUUCGUGCUUCCAGUAAUUUUUCUUCCUUCAGUUCUGCUUGGAACGUUGUAGGCUCCUUGCACACUGGAGUGGUAUAAGUGUUGCUUUCUUAAUAUAGGCAAAAUAUUCCAUUCAGCUCAGCAGGGUAAAUUGAAAAUUUGAAGUGAUAACGGAUUUCAUGUUAGCCUACAUGAGAAAUUCCUCCUUCAUUCAUUUGCCAGCCAAACUUUCGGAAUAACUACAGAGGACGUGUAAUUAAAGCUGUUGAGAAGACUCUGGGAAUACCAAGAGUAAUAUGAAGACCUUCAUUGAUUUUUUUUCGUGCUGAUACAGACUGCUUGGAAUAAUUUGUGGAACUUCUCCAGGAUACUGAACAAUGUCACUGGAGAAAAUAGGCGCAUUAGAAGGGACAAAGAAUUGCCACUCCGACGUGACGUUUUGACUACAAGUGUUAGAAGAAUAUCAGAUUGUUUCUACUAAAUACACAAACUGUGGAUUGUCUGCCUCAAGAUUGUCCGUCUUAAGGCAGACUCUUCAAACUCCAUGGAUUCCAAGGGGAAAUCCCAGCACAAAAUAGUUCAGAUCUCUAGAAAAGAGCAAGAAAAAAAUGGGAAGAACAAUAAUCAUCACUGUUCUUCAAUAUCGAGCUGUAGGUGAAAAGAUUAGUACAGUCUCUUCUGCUGACUCUUCCAUAAAACUCUUUUACCUGAGCUCAGCCUUGUUUUAUGAACAAAGUGCCGCUUGUUCCAUUGGUGGGUGAAAUUAGAAAAGGCAGAAGAUGGUGACAGCUAUCAGUUCUUACUGCGUUAUAUCCUUCUUAAAAGCUCUGCGCUACUGAUGGCAAGCCACACCACCUAGAGGAAAACUACUUCAACUCUAAGGGUCAAUGAGCCGGAUCCUCACAACAGUCAAAUGACUAGAUGUUUAAUGCUGGGGAUGCACUGGUGGCUGCAGUAGUGGGAGAUGAAAAAGGUACUGGAGUCAUUUCCUUGCCAGCACAGCCUUCUGGCCUUUGAGCUAUCAAAGUGGGAAUGCAGUGCCAGAGGUUUCAUCCUCCAGAUACAUAGAUUCUAAGGCAGCUGUGAAUUACGUGUGUUGUUGGAAGGAUAUGGCCAUCUUUGCUGCCAUAUGCUGCCUAUGGAGGACUUAGAAGUCUCACUGGAGGAUCUGGAGAGAUUAACAGAAGGCUAAAGGUACCGUGUACUGGCUUUGCCAUUGUCUUGUUUAUUUCUCUGAGUCUCAUCUUCGUUCCGCUGCAGCCUACCUUACUUAACAGAUCCCUGCUCACAUCAUUUAAUAUUCUUGAUUUACUUUUUGACUAAAGCUCUUCUGAAGAGUACAUAGGACAGAGGGAUAUAAUUUUCAAGCAUUAAAAAAAAAAGUAGGUCAACUUGCUGCUUAGAUCAAAUAUGAUGGAAAGAAUUUGUUACGUAUGCAGGGUGAAUUAUUAUUUCUAGUAAUAGCGAAGCUAUUGUACUAUAAAGCUAUUGUAUUAUUUGUCUAGGUUACAUUGCCUAUGUAUGAUAAUCUGUAGAAACAUUGUGUGAUUACAAACAAAAAAAAAUGAGAAAUGUCAGGACAAAUGAAUAUAUGGUAUUUUUAAUCUUAUUUUAACAUGGCUUGGUUCAAAUUACUAUUUAAGAUAUGCGUGAGAAAAAUGCCUUGUCCAGGCAUGGCUGGAAUUGAUGCUUUUAAAUAUCAGUUGUCUUGAGGUUGUGCAGGGUUAUGCAUAAUAUUCUUUACUGUAUGCAACUGUUGCAGAAAAAGGAAAGGAGAAUUAUUUCCUCAAGACUAAUGAAAACAAGAGAGAAACAAUCUUGUACAUGCUUUCAUCUACAGAGUCUUAUCCAAAUUGAGCUCAAAAUAAUCUGGUACAAUGCGAAUGUUGUGGGGUGCUUUCGUUGUUGCUGUUACACAAUAAAAAGUAAAAAUCAUCUCUACAGAAACCGAUUGCUCAAGCACUAAGUUUAUUUGAGAAAAACAAAUUGUGCUUUCACAAAGCUUAAGAGUAAGUAGUCAGAAAUGCAAAAAAAAAAAAAAAAAAAAAAAAAAACAGCAAAAUGAAGAGACUGAAGCAAAACUGGAACAGAAAUGUUCGAGUGUGUACAUAUGAGGACUUACACAUGUGGAGUACCUGAAAGAGGAGACAUUUGGCAGUUGGAAUGAUUAAUAAUGAACAAAUAUAAAAACAAGCUUUAGAAAGACAAGUUGUGAUUUGGAUUUCCUAAGAUUUCUGCACAUGAUCGCUAUUCUCACUUACUGUGGCCUGUCCCAUCCACAUGGAGAAGAAAUGAACCUAUAAUAGUUAAAGUGGGAGGAUUGAACCCAAGUACUUCAACUCGAUGUGAGUUGUUGCAAGCUGUGGUGGGGGUGGUACAGGGGAUGUGUUUUCGCGUAGAGCUGAACUGCAAUACCUGAAACUGAAUGUGUUCUUGAAUAUUUUUUGCUGCUGUGUUUCGUUGUCUCUAGUUAAGAACUGAAAUAUUUAGACCAUCAUUUAAACUCCAAUGUACUAUUAGCAAAUGCAAUUUCAAAAAGAAACAAUAAAGUUCAUAACAGAGCAUUCAAAUUGUACAAAAUAAGAAAUAAAAGGCAUGAAUUUACACAAAAACUCAACACUAGAGGUCAAGAUAAUAAAAAUCAUUAAUAAAGCUUCACUUAAAACUCCAACAAUGUGUCCAGUUUGUUGUUCAUAACCAAGUGUGGAUUUCCUGACAAAAUUCACCAUGGAAAAAGAGGAAU